AGACACUUCUAGAAGCUGGAGUGCUUUUUGUGGCUUUGUGUCCCCUGGCCAUCCUCCAUGUCCUCUGGGUCCUCCACAAACACUGGCUCCCAGCUGGUUGAGGUCCGGAUACUGGAAGCAGCAACAGGCCACAGCGCACACACUACCCCUAAACUGUCCACUGAAGGACUUCAGAGAGACUGUUGGUAAUGUGCUUGCCACGCAGGAGCUAUGACCCAGUCUGUUGCUGUGGAGGGAUGCGCACAGGAGCUCACAGGAACUUGAGGGAAUGCUGACAUCAGCUCAGCUUCUCCAGCCACCGAAGCCCUGGACAGACCUGCAAGAAGUGCAGAGAGGAUCAACACACAAGCCUCGAGUUGGGCCUGGAGCCUUCAGUAGCAGGCAGCUGGAGACACCACCACAGAAAUGAGCUUUUAAGACCCUGGGCUGAGUGGCCAGGAACACCUAUUCUUCUGUGGGAGGAAAGAACACAGCUGUUUACCUCCUGUGCCCGAUCCAAACCCAGCGAAUCCACUGCUCGGGGUCCCAAAGCCUGAGGUCUGCUGGGACAAGGACCCGAAGGUGGGUGCGUUCUGACUGGCGAGGGUACCGAAGGAUGCAGUAUUGCCGCUGCUCCCGAACCUGGGGUGCGGUGAGAAUGGGACAGGGUUGUCAUGGCCCUAGUCCUCAUGCUGCCCACACCUCACUCACUGUCACCUGUCUUGGAUGUACCACACAGGAGCUGUGGUGACAAGCUUGGACCGAGUCAAC
ensembl:processed_transcript Gm16534 predicted gene 16534